UUUUAACACACAGAAUGGCUAUCCCCCCCCCCCCCUCCUUUAUUUUAUAAUUGUCCUUUUUUUUUGCUUGAUGAAUGUUUUCUUGGCUGUUUAUGAUUUCAAAAAUAAAUAAUCUUGCAACAAAUGUUUAAUAACAAACUUUGAAAAAUGACAUUGCAAACAUUACACAUUAACCUGCUGUCAUCCAUGCAUCUGGCCACCACCAAACACCCAUUUUCACAACGUGGAGAAGUGCAUGCUGGGAGAGGACUUUCAUGCACAUGUGCAGCUGUUGCACACUAAAGAAUCAGGGAUGCAGAUCGAGGCCUUAUCCAGGAGAAUUAACAACCUCACAUACUUACUCAGCCGAGACGAGCUGCUGAGAGGAAUGAGACGCAGCCAGACCGCCAUAGUGUGAUCGGCCUGCGCCGCAUUAACUCCACCGUACCGCCGAGAGCAUACCUCAACCUAACCCACCUCACCCUCAAAGCUUCAGGACCUGAAAUGUGUAACACAAUCCUACAUAAUUCAGCUCAAGAACACAACUCUACUAUUUUUGUUAUUGUAUUACUAAUUAUUUUUGAUGCGUUAUGAGGUUAUAAUGUACUGUAUGACAAUCAGAUCUGAGUUAAAGAGCAAACAAAAAAAUUAUUUUAUGUAAUAUGCACUUUUCACAAAGCCUUUCUGUCAAUAGAUGAAAUCAUCUACCUCAACCAUUGUGUUUUUCUUAAAAUAUUGUAUUCAUAUAGCCAGUGGAACUGGAUGUGAGUAAAUCCUUCUGUUUGACGAACACUUUGUCAUUUUCUUAGGCUGUUUUACUUCAUCUUUUUUCAAAGCUUGUUAAAAGCAGUUUGUUUUUUCAAGCAGAAAUGGUUGUUUGCUUGCUAUACCUCUGUUAAAUCCACCCCAAGAGUUAAAAGGGGUUUGUUGUAGUAAGGGGCUUUAUGCCGUGUAUGACGACUUGUCCAGUGUCCUACGUGUCCAAUGUGUCCCAUGACCCAACCGACAAACUUUGGGAGGUCCUUAUAUGACGGCUGAGCUUGAAAUGAGCAUACUUAUCUUAACAGGACUCCAAAGAAGAGAAGAAAAAUCCGCCCGCAGGUUCACUCUCAACCGAUACCAAGGAAAGAAUAAUAUUGGUGAGUUAUUUUACCUGGCAACAUUUUACGUCAGU
rnacentral:lncRNA from 1 species